ACGGGUGAGUAACACGUGGGCAACCUGCCCUUGAGACUGGGAUAACUUCGGGAAACCGGAGCUAAUACCGGAUAAUAUGAGGAACCUCCUGGUUCUUUAUUGAAAGAUGGUUUCGGCUAUCACUUAAGGAUGGGCCCGCGGCGCAUUAGCUAGUUGGUGAGGUAACGGCUCACCAAGGCGACGAUGCGUAGCCGACCUGAGAGGGUGAUCGGCCACACUGGGACUGAGACACGGCCCAGACUCCUACGGGAGGCAGCAGUAGGGAAUCUUCCACAAUGGACGAAAGUCUGAUGGAGCAACGCCGCGUGAGUGAUGAAGGCCUUCGGGUCGUAAAGCUCUGUUGUUAGGGAAGAACAAGUGCGAGAGUAACUGCUCGCACCUUGACGGUACCUAACCAGAAAGCCACGGCUAACUACGUGCCAGCAGCCGCGGUAAUACGUAGGUGGCAAGCGUUAUCCGGAAUUAUUGGGCGUAAAGCGCGCGCAGGUGGUUUCUUAAGUCUGAUGUGAAAGCCCACGGCUCAACCGUGGAGGGUCAUUGGAAACUGGGGAACUUGAGUGCAGAAGAGGAAAGUGGAAUUCC
rnacentral:rRNA from 1 species